UAGGUAGGGUUUAGGGUUAGGUAGGGUUUAGGGUUGGUAGGGCUUAGGGUUAGGUAGGGUUUAGGGUCUAGGGUUAGGUAGGGCUUAGGGUUAGGUAGGGUUUAGGGUUAGGUAAGGUUUAGGGUUAGAAAGGGUUUAGGGUUAGGUAAGGUUUAGUGUUAGAAAGGGUUUAGGGUUAGGCAGAGUUUAGGGUUAGAAAGGGUUUAGGGUUAGGUAGGGCUUAGGGUUAGGUAGGGUUUAGGGUUUAAGGUUAGGUAGGGUUUAGGGUUAAAAAGGAUUUAGGGUAGGUAGGGUUUAGGGUUAGGUAGGGUUUAGGGAUGGUAGGGCUUAGGGUUAGGUAGGGUUUAGGGUCUAGGGUUAGGUAGGGUUUAGGGUUAGGUAAGGUUUAGGGUUGAUAGGGCUUAGGGUUAGGUAGGGUUUAGGGUCUAGGGUUAGGUAGGGUUUAGGGUUACGUAGGGUUUAGGGUUAGGUAGGGCUUAGAAUUGGGUAGGGUUUAGGGUUAGUAGGGUUUAAGGUUAGGUAGGGUUUAGGGUUAUGUAGGAUUUAGGGUUAGUAGGGUUUAGGGUUAGUAGGGUCUAGGGUUAUAAUGGUUUUACGGUUAGGUAGGGUUUAGGUUAGGUAUGGUUUAGGGUUAUGUAGGGUUAGGGUUAGGUAGUGUUUAGAAUUAGGUAGGGUUUAGGGUUAGCAUGGUUUAGGGUUAAAAGGGUUUAGGGUUAGUAGGGUUUAGGGUUAGGUGGAUUUAGGGGUAGAAAGGGUUUAGGGUUAGAAAGGGGUUAGGGUUAGGUAGGGUUUAGGGUUAGGUAGGGUUUUGAAUUAGGUAGGGUUUAGGGUUAGAAAGGAUUUAGAAUUAGUAGGAUUUAAGGUUAGUAGGAUUUAGGGUUAGUAGGGUUUUGGGUUAGGUAGGAUUUAGGGUUAGUAGGGUUUAGGGUUAGGUAGGGUUUAGGGUAGGUAGGUCUAGGGUUAGGUAGGGUUUAGGGUUAGGUUUUAGGUAGGGUUAACGGUUAGGUUUUAGGUAGGGUUUCGGGUUAGGUUUUAGGUAGGGUUAAGGGUUAGGUUUUAGGUAGGGUUUAGAGUUAAAUAGGGUUUAGGGUUAGGUAGGGUUUAGGGUAGGUAGGUCUAGGGUUAGGUAGGGUUUAGGGUUAGGUUUUAGGUAGGGUUAAGGGUUAGGUUUUAGGUAGGGUUUAGAGUUAAAUAGGGUUUAGGGUUAGGUAGGGUUUAAGUUUAGGGUUAGGUUGGUUUACAGUUAGAUAGGUUUAGGGUUUAGGUAGUAUGAAGGGUUUAGGGAUUAGGGUUACGUUUAUGUAGGGUUUAGGGUUAGAUAGGUUAAUGUCUAGGUUUAGGUAGGAUUUAAGGUUUAGGUAGUAGGGUUUAGGGUUAGGUAGGGUUUAGGGUUACGUAGGGUUUAGGGUUAGGUAGGGCUUAGAAUUGGGUAGGGUUUUGGGUUAGUAGGGUUUAGGGUUAUGUAGGGUUUAGGGUUAGUAGGGUUUAGGGUUAGAAUGGUUUUACGGUUAGGUAGGGUUUAGGGUUAGGGUUAGGGUUAGGUAGGGUUUAGAAUUAUGUAGGGUUUAGGGUUAGCAUGGUUUAGGGUUAGAAGGGUUUAGGGUUAGUAGGGUUUAGGGUUAGGUGGAUUUAGGGCUAGAAAGGGUUUAGGGUUAGGUAGGGUUUACGGUUAGGUAAGGUUUAGGGUUAGAAGGGUUUAGGGUUAGGUAGGGUUUAGGGUUAGAAAGGGUUUAGGGUUAGGUAGGGUUUAGGGCUAGGUAGGGUUUAGGGUUAUGUAGGGUUUAGGGUUAGGUAGGGUUUAGGGUUAGAAAGGGUUUAGGGUUAGUAGGGUUUAGGGUUAGUAGGGUUUCGGGUUAGGUAGGGUUAGGGUUAGGUAGAAUUUAGGGUUAGUAGGGUUUAGGGUUAGGUAGGGUUUAGGGUUAGGUAGGGUUUAGGGUUAGGUUUUAGGUAGGGUUUAGGUUUAGGUAGGGUUUAGGGUUAAAUAGGGUUUAGGGUUAGGUAGGGUUUACGUUUAGAGUUAGGUUGGUUUACGGUUAGAUAGGUUUAGGGUUUAGGUAGUAUGAAGGGUUUAGGGAUUAGGGUUAGGUUUAUGUAGGGUUUAGGGUUAGAUAGGUUAAGGUCUAGGUUUAGGUAGGAUUUAAGGUUUAGGUAGUAGAAAAGGUUUAGCAUUUGAUUUAGGUUGGGUUUAAGGUUUGGUUUAGAAUAAUGCUUAGGAUUAUAGGGUUUAGGGUUUGUUUGUUUUUUUGUUUAUGUAUUUAGUGUUGAGGUUUUCCGAUAAAAUUUAUAUUAAUAUUAUUCGUUCAUAAUUUUUUUUAAAAUGUUAAAAUUUUUAAAGUGAUUUUUAAUGUUCUUAAAACAAAGUAUGUAUUUUUUUAUUAAAUCUUUUGUGACAAUAAGUUGAAUAUAUCUUAGACCACAAAUCAUAAAUAUUUUGAGUUUUAUACAUGACUAGAUCCUUUUUCCGCGCUACGCGCGGAUAAUAUAUUUAAAUUUGUUACAUUUAUCAUUUUUAUUUAUAUGUGAAUUUUUAUAUAUUAAAUUAUAUAUAACUAAUUUUUUAAUUUGAUUUUUUUUUAUAUUUUUAGUUUGAAUUA
rnacentral:lncRNA from 1 species